GAUUAGCUAAGUUGGUAUAGCAGUUGACUUAAGAUCAACGUUUCGCGGGUUCAAAUCCCGCAUCAA
rnacentral:tRNA from 1 species